GUUGACCUCGGAUCGGUAGGACCCGAUC
rnacentral:rRNA from 1 species